GACGAACGCUGGCGGCGUGCUUAACACAUGCAAGUCGAAUGGAAAGGCCCUGCUUUUGUGGGGUGCUCGAGUGGCGAACGGGUGAGUAACACGUGAGUAACCUGCCCUUGACUUUGGGAUAACUUCAGGAAACUGGGGCUAAUACCGGAUAGGAGCUCCUGCUGCAUGGUGGGGGUUGGAAAGUUUCGGCGGUUGGGGAUGGACUCGCGGCUUAUCAGCUUGUUGGUGGGGUAGUGGCUUACCAAGGCUUUGACGGGUAGCCGGCCUGGGAGGGUGACCGGCCACAUUGGGACUGAGAUACGGCCCAGACUCCUACGGGAGGCAGCAGUGGGGAAUAUUGCACAAUGGGCGGAAGCCUGAUGCAGCAACGCCGCGUGCGGGAUGACGGCCUUCGGGUUGUAAACCGCUUUCGCCUGUGACGAAGCGUGAGUGACGGUAAUGGGUAAAGAAGCACCGGCUAACUACGUG
rnacentral:rRNA from 1 species